rnacentral:lncRNA from 1 species
CGCUCUACCAGGCUGAGACACCCCCCCACCCCCAUCCAGAUGAGUCAAAGUGCCUGUGUAACUUCAAAGGGUCUCUGAAGUCACCCCAGACCCACCCAGCUUGGGCUGGACACACAAGUUGCUGAAUAAAUGGAUGCAUUUAAUGAAUCGACCAAUGGCUACUGGGUGACCUGCUAUUAUUAAUGAUGAUAUUAUAAAAGGAACCAAGCAUUUUCCCAUAACCUCAGCGGUUUCUCCUUAUGGCACCUAUUUUCCACAUCUCUACCAGUAACAU